rnacentral:rRNA from 1 species
CCAAUAGCGUAUAUUAAAGUUGUUGCAGUUAAAAAGCUCGUAGUUGAAUUUCGGGAUCAGCGCGUCGGUCGUGCCUCCGGUAUGCACUGGCGCCGCUGGUUUCUCCCUUCUGAGGAACCGUGAUGUCAUUAAUUUGGUGUCGCGGGAAAUCAGGACUGUUACUUUGAAAAAAUUAGAGUGUUUAAAGCGGGCACGCGCUUGAAUACAUUAGCAUGGAAUAACGAAAUAGGACGUUCGAUCUUAUUUUGUUGGUUUCUAGGAUUGACGUAAUGAUUAAUAGGGAUAGUUGGGGGCAUUAGUAUUCAAUUGUCAGAGGUGAAAUUCUUGGAUUUAUUGAAGACUAACUACUGCGAAAGCAUUUGCCAAGGAUGUUUUCACUAAUCAAGAACGAAAGUUAGGGGAUCGAAGACGAUCAGAUACCGUCGUAGUCUUAACCAUAAACUAUGCCGACUAGGGAUCGGAUGAUGUUAAUUUUAUAAUGACUCAUUCGGCGCCUUACG